CUCUAAUUUCAGUAAACUACGGAGAAAUUCGAACACUCCUUAAUUUCUAUGAAACAGAAGUACCUGCACAGGUCCAAUAAAUUUUUGAUAUUUUGUAGAUUUUGAGUGUUGAAAGGUAAUGUAAUCGUAAACAUUGCUAAUAUUCAUGCAUUAUUGUGUAUGACCAGAAUUAGGAUGUGAGUUGACAUUAUCCCAUGGUCUUAUUAGAGUUUAACUGGGCGAGAGCUAUUCUUCCCAUGGCCCGGUAAAUUGUCUUGUCAUGUCAUAAAAACUCACGUAACGAUUCAGUGAUUGAUAUAAUGUUUCGUAGUAGAUUUGGAGUUAAACCUUGACUAUGAUAACCGAUAUAAGAUGUGGGAGGAAUAUAUCCCUUCGCCUGAUCAAGAAUAA